GACGAACGCUGGCGGCGUGCUUAACACAUGCAAGUCGAACGGAAAGGCCCUGCUUUUGUGGGGUGCUCGAGUGGCGAACGGGUGAGUAACACGUGAGUAACCUGCCCCUGACUUUGGGAUAACUUCAGGAAACUGGGGCUAAUACCGGAUAGGAGCUCCUGCUGCAUGGUGGGGGUUGGAAAGUUUCGGCGGUUGGGGAUGGACUCGCGGCUUAUCAGCUUGUUGGUGGGGUAGUGGCUUACCAAGGCUUUGACGGCUAGCCGGCCUGAGAGGGUGACCGGCCACAUUGGGACUGAGAUAGGGCCCAGACUCCUACGGGAGGCAGCAGUGGGGAAUAUUGCACAAUGGGCGGAAGCCUGAUGCAGCAACGCCGCGUGCGGGAUGACGGCCUUCGGGUUGUAAACCGCUUUCGCCUGUGACGAAGCGUGAGUGACGGUAAUGGGUAAAGAAGCACCGGCUAACUACGUG
rnacentral:rRNA from 1 species